rnacentral:rRNA from 1 species
UACGGAGGGUGCGAGCGUUGUCCGGAAUCACUGGGCGUAAAGGGCGCGUAGGCGGCCUGGUAAGUCGGGGGUGAAAUCCUGCGGCUUAACCGCAGGGCUGCCUUCUAAACUGUCAGGCUCGAGCACAGUAGAGGCAGGUGGAAUUCCCGGUGUAGCGGUGGAAUGCGUAGAGAUCGGGAAGAACAUCAGUGGCGAAGGCGGCCUGCUGGGCUGUUGCUGACGCUGAGGCGCGACAGCGUGGGGAGCAAACAGG